UCAACCAACGAGGAGAGCGUAGAGAGCAGAGAGAAGGAAGUGUUUCGGUUUCAGCCUGGUUUCAGAUUGGAGCUCCUUCAGGGGGGGGGGGUCUUUGUGUCCUCACUCUUUUCUCCGCCAGCCACUCGCCUGGUUCCACGAUGACCUGCCCCUCCACCUCUUCAGUUGGACUAAUCCUCCUUCUGAUUGGCUACGCUGUCGCAGGACCUGAGACGGCCAGGCAGCCUCGAGCGGUGCGUUCGAGUGCCUGUCAAGAAUACACGAGGCGUCACAAGGCCUCGAUGUGGUGGAAAAGAAGGUGGAGGACAUGGUGGAGAAGUUGGAGGCCGAGAUGGCCGCCCUGCUGGACGCCAUCGACGCCCCGAAGUGGCGCCCCCUAGUGG